rnacentral:rRNA from 1 species
AGGAUUAGAUACCCGGGUAGUCCCAGCUGUAAACGAUGCAGACUAGGUGUUUGGACGGCCACGUGCCGUUCUAGUGCCGCAGGGAAACUGUUAAGUCUGCCGCCUGGGGAGUACGAUCGCAAGAUUGAAACUUAAAGGAAUUGGCGGGGGAGCACCACAAGGGGUGAAGCUUGCGGUUUAAUUGGAGUCAACGCCGGAAAUCUCACCGGGAGCGACAGCAGUGUGAAGGCCAGAUUAAAGGUCUUGCCAGACGAGCUGAGAGGAGGUGCAUGGCCGUCGCCAGUUCGUGCCGUGAGGUGUCCUGUUAAGUCAGGCAACGAUCGAGACCCGCGUCCUCUGUUGCAACUAGCCUUGUGCUGGGCACACUGAGGAGACCGCCACUGAUAAAGUGGAGGAAGGAGCGGGCCACGGCAGGUCAGUAUGCCCCGAAUCUCCCGGGCCACACGCGAGCUGCAAUGGCAGGUACAAUGGGUUCCGACCUCGAAAGGGGAAGGCAAUCUCGAAAGCCUGCCGUAGUUGGAAUCGAGGGCUGUAACCCGCCCUCGUGAACAUGGAAUCCCUAGUAAUCGCGUGUCAUUAGCGCGCGGUGAAUACGUCCCUGCUCCUUGCACACACCGCCCGUCGUUCCAUCCGAGCGACUCUUGGGUGAGGCACCGUCCUUUGUGGCGGUAUCGAAUCUAAGUUUCGUAAGGAGGGAAAAGUCGUAACAAG